rnacentral:lncRNA from 1 species
CUUAGGAAGUUUGUUCCAAAUCAUAUUCAAGGGAAUCAUAUAGAGAAGUAUCGCAUUGGAUAGUAGACAUGAAAUAAACUAUCAUUCAAACAAUGUGAUUAAGAGUAUUGUAUUAGAGAAUGACCGUAUUGCAUUGUAGUUGUAACUGGAUAGGUUCUCUAACCAAUUCUACUUAGCUUGGGUAACCAUGACAUACUGCUAGGUGUCCCUCAUGGUUUGUGGAAG